AUGUACAAGAAGAGGACGCUUUGGGCUGCAUCAUAUUUGUCUGGUGGUUUUUUUCUUGGUAUGCGAAGUAAUCAGAGGAGUGAGAGUCUGAACUCCAGCCUGCACCUUCAUCUUGACUAUGGUAUGACGAUCGUUAACAUGAUUGUACACUACGAGAAUUGCAUUGUUCGCCUCUGUGAGAAUGAAGCUUAUGAUGACUACACGGCCUCACAGACUCUUCCAGUAACAGUGACUGAGUGUCAGGCCAUUGAGUCGUAUGCUGCCAAAGCAUUCACGCAGGCAAACUUUUAUAUGUUGCAACAAGAUAUGAAGAAGGUACAGGAGCUUGAGUUAACUGAUAGACUGACAAGGACCGAUAGUCAGAGAUUUGUGGUUGCGUGCAAGAAUAACAGGGAUCACAAAUUUAAUGUGGACUAUACGCCAGGUAACUCGGCAGAAACUAUAAAGUGUAGUUGCCGAAGUAUGACUCGCAAAGGGCUUCCUUGCAAGUAUAUUCUUCAUGUUUUGAAUGCACUGAACUUACCUAUGAUACCCAAGUGUUGUGUCCUGCGAACAUUCUCAAAAAAAGCACGAGCUGGACUGCCCGUGAAGUUCACCAGCGAUCUGUUUGCGUGGGGUUGGUCGAGUGCUGAGGACAGAGCUAGAUAUAGUGAGUUGACCAUCAAAUCUUCAGAAGCAUGUCAUGUCGCAUGCCGUAAUCCUUUCUUAUUCGACAAGUUGAUGGCAGCUCUGGAUGAUAUUAUAACGAAUAAGGACAUUCAGGGAAAUGAAGAUGAUAGUCAGUGA
rnacentral:rRNA from 1 species